ACUCCUACGGGAGGCAGCAGUAGGGAAUCUUCCGCAAUGGACGAAAGUCUGACGGAGCAACGCCGCGUGAGUGAUGAAGGCUUUCGGGUCGUAAAACUCUGUUGUUAGGGAAGAACAAGUGCUAGUUGAAUAAGCUGGCACCUUGACGGUACCUAACCAGAAAGCCACGGCUAACUACGUGCCAGCAGCCGCGGUAAU
rnacentral:rRNA from 2 species